CCCCCUCCUGCGGGGAAAGUCAUCGUUAGCUCGGCUUGAAAUGACCCGCACGGCGCCGCGCGGCGCGACCCGCCUUCCACCUGACAACAGGAGCGCGUGAGCGGCGAGGAAGCGCGAGCGGCCGCUGUCAGCUUUUCCGCCAACACGGACUCCUGGACGGACAGAAAACUGUCGGUUUAGGGGGAAAAACGCCAAAGCGGCUUACGGUUUUCCGGUGAGCGUCCCGGUGCCGAGCAGAGUCCCGGUGCUGAGCGCGCGCGGGCAGGCUGGGGCUCCGGUUCGCCUCUCGGAGGACAGAAUGCUGCCGUGAACGGGAGAAAUCAACGUUAACAAUCAGGAGCUGCAGGGAGGAGGACGGACGCUGAAGAACAAACAGAUCUGGAAGGAGAGGAGCUGCAGGACAGUUGAUGGAAACAAACGUGUCAGGAGCAGCAGAACACAAACGUUUCCACCUUUGACUCCACAGGAGCAUCUCUCUGAACCCAAACUCCCGAGCCUCAAAGCAGGAGAAAUGACCGUCCUCCUUCAGGAUCGGAUGGUUUCAAUCCACCACCAGACUUUAGUCUCAAGGCUUUGACAGUCCCACACCAUCACACUCCCACCACCAUGCCUUACUGAAGGCGUCAGUUUGAGUCCUGACGUGUGUUUCCAGAAAGUUCUUGUGUCUCAUCAGAACAUCAGUCCAGAAGUGAGAUGUUUUCCUGAACCGCUCCAUGGAUCCGUGUUUGUCCAGAAGUUUCUCUCGGUUGGAUCCGGACCUGAACCGAGUCCUGGAGGUGGUUCCAUCGUCUGCUUCUCUCUGCUGGAUGAGUCCUCCUCGUGUUCCUGGACUCUAAAGAGUCGUCCUUCGUGACUCCGCCUCCUUAAAGCCUUCCUGUCCAGCAGACAUGAGAGAUGUUCGUCUACAGCGUCCAGAACGGUUGUUUUAACUGUUGAGUUCUUGUUUUUAUACUUUUAUUUAUCUGUACGGUGAGGCGACAUUGAGUGUCAACAUAAUGUUAAUAACUAUUAUUAUAAUUUAAAGGACUGCUGAUGGAAUCUUUGAAAUUGUUUGGAGAUUUUCUUGAAGAUCCCAGAAGACAGACAUGAUGACGCUGUCGUGACAGUCAAGCAAAAACGUUCUUCUAAACAGAUUUAUGUCAAAGUUUAGAGUUCAUAAAGAGUAAGAUCACAGCUUUCAUCUUAAAAAUCCUUUAUUGCAUUAAAAACGUCUUACAGUAUAAAAGGAUACCAAACUGUAAUAAUCACAAAGCAGUGCUGAUUAAAGUUCCCUCUAAUCUGGUGGAACCGGAUCCCAUUAGAACAUGAAUCCAUCCACCCAGAAUGCAUCAGAGCCAUGAGGGCCGUAUGGAGAUGAAUUCAGGCCAAAAUUAUUUAAUAAACUAAAAAAAAAAAA